rnacentral:rRNA from 1 species
UACGCUAAUACCGCAUACGUCCUGAGGGAGAAAGCGGGGGACCGUAAGGCCUCGCGCGAUUGGAGCGGCCGAUGUCGGAUUAGCUAGUUGGUAGGGUAAAGGCCUACCAAGGCGACGAUCCGUAGCGGGUCUGAGAGGAUGAUCCGCCACACUGGGACUGAGACACGGCCCAGACUCCUACGGGAGGCAGCAGUGGGGAAUUUUGGACAAUGGGCAAAAGCCUGAUCCAGCCAUGCCGCGUGAGUGAAGAAGGCCUUCGGGUUGUAAAGCUCUUUCAGACGGAAAGAAAUCGCAUCUUCUAAUACAGGGUGUGGAUGACGGUACCGUAAGAAGAAGCACCGGCUAACUACGUGCCAGCAGCCGCGGUAAUACGUAGGGUGCGAGCGUUAAUCGGAAUUACUGGGCGUAAAGCGUGCGCAGGCGGUGAUGUAAGACAGAUGUGAAAUCCCCGGGCUCAACCUGGGAACUGCGUUUGUGACU